GUCGAACGGCAGCAUGAUCUAGCUUGCUAGAUUGAUGGCGAGUGGCGAACGGGUGAGUAAUACAUCGGAACGUGCCCUGUAGUGGGGGAUAACUAGUCGAAAGAUUAGCUAAUACCGCAUACGACCUGAGGGUGAAAGUGGGGGACCGCAAGGCCUCAUGCUAUAGGAGCGGCCGAUGUCUGAUUAGCUAGUUGGUGAGGUAAAGGCUCGCCAAGGCGACGAUCAGUAGCUGGUCUGAGAGGACGAUCAGCCACACUGGGACUGAGACACGGCCCAGACUCCUACGGGAGGCAGCAGUGGGGAAUUUUGGACAAUGGGCGAAAGCCUGAUCCAGCAAUGCCGCGUGUGUGAAGAAGGCCUUCGGGUUGUAAAGCACUUUUGUCCGGAAAGAAAUGGCUCUGGUUAAUACCUGGGGUCGAUGACGGUACCGGAAGAAUAAGGACCGGCUAACUACGUGCCAGCAGCCGCGGUAAUACGUAGGGUCCAAGCGUUAAUCGGAAUUACUGGGCGUAAAGCGUGCGCAGGCGGUUGUGCAAGACCGAUGUGAAAUCCCCGAGUUUAACUUGGGAAUUGCAUUGGUGACUGCACGGCUAGAGCGUGUCAGAGGGGGGUAGAAUUCCACGUGUAGCAGUGAAAUGCGUAGAGAUGUGGAGGAAUACCGAUGGCGAAGGCAGCCCCCUGGGAUAACACUGACGCUCAUGCACGAAAGCGUGGGGAGCAAACAGGAUUAGAUACCCUGGUAGUCCACGCCCU
rnacentral:rRNA from 1 species